GCCCUGGCAGUCAGAGGCGAUGAAGGACGUGCUAAUCUGCGAUAAGCGUCGGUAAGGUGAUAUGAACCGUUAUAACCGGCGAUUUCCGAAUGGGGAAACCCAGUGUGAUUCGUCACACUAUCAUUAACUGAAUCCAUAGGUUAAUGAGGCGAACCGGGGGAACUGAAACAUCUAAGUACCCCGAGGAAAAGAAAUCAACCGAGAUUCCCCCAGUAGCGGCGAGCGAACGGGGAGGAGCCCAGAGCCUGAAUCAGUGUGUGUGUUAGUGGAAGCGUCUGGAAAGGCGCGCGAUACAGGGUGACAGCCCCGUACACAAAAAUGCACAUGCUGUGAGCUCGAUGAGUAGGGCGGGACACGUGGUAUCCUGUCUGAAUAUGGGGGGACCAUCCUCCAAGGCUAAAUACUCCUGACUGACCGAUAGUGAACCAGUACCGUGAGGGAAAGGCGAAAAGAACCCCGGCGAGGGGAGUGAAAAAGAACCUGAAACCGUGUACGUACAAGCAGUGGGAGCACAGAGCAAUCUGUGUGACUGCGUACCUUUUGUAUAAUGGGUCAGCGACUUAUAUUCUGUAGCAAGGUUAACCGAAUAGGGGAGCCGAAGGGAAACCGAGUCUUAACUGGGCGUUAAGUUGCAGGGUAUAGACCCGAAACCCGGUGAUCUAGCCAUGGGCAGGUUGAAGGUUGGGUAACACUAACUGGAGGACCGAACCGACUAAUGUUGAAAAAUUAGCGGAUGACUUGUGGCUGGGGGUGAAAGGCCAAUCAAACCGGGAGAUAGCUGGUUCUCCCCGAAAGCUAUUUAGGUAGCGCCUCGUGAAUUCAUCUCCGGGGGUAGAGCACUGUUUCGGCAAGGGGGUCAUCCCGACUUACCAACCCGAUGCAAACUGCGAAUACCGGAGAAUGUUAUCACGGGAGACACACGGCGGGUGCUAACGUCCGUCGUGAAGAGGGAAACAACCCAGACCGCCAGCUAAGGUCCCAAAGUCAUGGUUAAGUGGGAAACGAUGUGGGAAGGCCCAGACAGCCAGGAUGUUGGCUUAGAAGCAGCCAUCAUUUAAAGAAAGCGUAAUAGCUCACUGGUCGAGUCGGCCUGCGCGGAAGAUGUAACGGGGCUAAACCAUGCACCGAAGCUGCGGCAGCGACGCUUAUGCGUUGUUGGGUAGGGGAGCGUUCUGUAAGCCUGCGAAGGUGUGCUGUGAGGCAUGCUGGAGGUAUCAGAAGUGCGAAUGCUGACAUAAGUAACGAUAAAGCGGGUGAAAAGCCCGCUCGCCGGAAGACCAAGGGUUCCUGUCCAACGUUAAUCGGGGCAGGGUGAGUCGACCCCUAAGGCGAGGCCGAAAGGCGUAGUCGAUGGGAAACAGGUUAAUAUUCCUGUACUUGGUGUUACUGCGAAGGGGGGACGGAGAAGGCUAUGUUGGCCGGGCGACGGUUGUCCCGGUUUAAGCGUGUAGGCUGGUUUUCCAGGCAAAUCCGGAAAAUCAAGGCUGAGGCGUGAUGACGAGGCACUACGGUGCUGAAGCAACAAAUGCCCUGCUUCCAGGAAAAGCCUCUAAGCAUCAGGUAACAUCAAAUCGUACCCCAAACCGACACAGGUGGUCAGGUAGAGAAUACCAAGGCGCUUGAGAGAACUCGGGUGAAGGAACUAGGCAAAAUGGUGCCGUAACUUCGGGAGAAGGCACGCUGAUAUGUAGGUGAAGCGACUUGCUCGUGGAGCUGAAAUCAGUCGAAGAUACCAGCUGGCUGCAACUGUUUAUUAAAAACACAGCACUGUGCAAACACGAAAGUGGACGUAUACGGUGUGACGCCUGCCCGGUGCCGGAAGGUUAAUUGAUGGGGUCAGCGCAAGCGAAGCUCUUGAUCGAAGCCCCGGUAAACGGCGGCCGUAACUAUAACGGUCCUAAGGUAGCGAAAUUCCUUGUCGGGUAAGUUCCGACCUGCACGAAUGGCGUAAUGAUGGCCAGGCUGUCUCCACCCGAGACUCAGUGAAAUUGAACUCGCUGUGAAGAUGCAGUGUACCCGCGGCAAGACGGAAAGACCCCGUGAACCUUUACUAUAGCUUGACACUGAACAUUGAGCCUUGAUGUGUAGGAUAGGUGGGAGGCUUUGAAGUGUGGACGCCAGUCUGCAUGGAGCCGACCUUGAAAUACCACCCUUUAAUGUUUGAUGUUCUAACGUGGACCCGUAAUCCGGGUUGCGGACAGUGUCUGGUGGGUAGUUUGACUGGGGCGGUCUCCUCCUAAAGAGUAACGGAGGAGCACGAAGGUUGGCUAAUCCUGGUCGGACAUCAGGAGGUUAGUGCAAUGGCAUAAGCCAGCUUGACUGCGAGCGUGACGGCGCGAGCAGGUGCGAAAGCAGGUCAUAGUGAUCCGGUGGUUCUGAAUGGAAGGGCCAUCGCUCAACGGAUAAAAGGUACUCCGGGGAUAACAGGCUGAUACCGCCCAAGAGUUCAUAUCGACGGCGGUGUUUGGCACCUCGAUGUCGGCUCAUCACAUCCUGGGGCUGAAGUAGGUCCCAAGGGUAUGGCUGUUCGCCAUUUAAAGUGGUACGCGAGCUGGGUUUAGAACGUCGUGAGACAGUUCGGUCCCUAUCUGCCGUGGGCGCUGGAGAACUGAGGGGGGCUGCUCCUAGUACGAGAGGACCGGAGUGGACGCAUCACUGGUGUUCGGGUUGUCAUGCCAAUGGCACUGCCCGGUAGCUAAAUGCGGAAGAGAUAAGUGCUGAAAGCAUCUAAGCACGAAACUUGCCCCGAGAUGAGUUCUCCCUGACUCCUUGAGAGUCCUGAAGGAACGUUGAAGACGACGACGUUGAUAGGCCGGGUGUGUAAGCGCAGCGAUGCGUUGAGCUAACCGGUACUAAUGAACCGUGAGGCUUAACCUU
rnacentral:rRNA from 1 species